ACGCACGCUGGCGGCGUGCUUCACACAUGCCAGUCGAACGGUGAAGCGCCUUCCUUUUUGGUGGGUGUGGAUGAGUGGCGCACGGGUGAGUAACACGUGAGUAACCUGCCCCCUUCUUCUGGAUAACCGCAUGAAAGUGUGGCUAAUACGGGAUAUUCUGGGUCUGUCGCAUGAUGGGUCUGGGAAAGAUAUUGUUUCGGUGGGGGAUGGGCUCGCGGCCUAUCAGCUUGUUGGUGGGGUGAUGGCCUACCAAGGCGGUGACGGGUAGCCGGCCUGAGAGGGUGGACGGUCACACUGGGACUGAGACACGGCCCAGACUCCUACGGGAGGCAGCAGUGGGGAAUAUUGCACAAUGGGCGCAAGCCUGAUGCAGCGACGCCGCGUGAGGGAUGGAGGCCUUCGGGUUGUGAACCUCUUUCGCCAGUGAAGCAGGCCUGCCUCGUUUGUGGGUGGGUUGACGGUAGCUGGAUAAGAAGCGCCGGCUAACUACGUG
rnacentral:rRNA from 1 species